rnacentral:rRNA from 1 species
UUUAUUGGAGAGUUUGAUCCUGGCUCAGGAUGAACGCUGGCGGCGUGCCUAAUACAUGCAAGUCGAGCGAAUGGAUUGAGAGCUUGCUCUUAUGAAGUUAGCGGCGGACGGGUGAGUAACACGUGGGUAACCUGCCCAUAAGACAGGGAUAACUCCGGGAAACCGGGGCUAAUACCGGAUAAAAUUUUGAACCGCAUGGUUCGAAAUUGAAAGGCGGCUUCGGC